CCAAUAGUUAAAAUACCAAUUUGCCCUUAUUUUUCUUCACAUUUUCGUUACUACCUUUUGCUCUGAUAUACUAUAUGAGAUUACGCCACGUGCUUUCAUCAUUUUCCUUUGCUUUCUCUGAGUUCAACCCCCCAUCAAUUCUGAUCUCUCCCUUCCCCCAAUCUCUUUCGCCCCCUUCUUCUCCCUCCUGUAUCAUCGACAUUUUCUCUCUCCUUCUACACAGCUUGCAAUUUGUGCAAGCUUGACAAGGUUUCUAUCUUCACUAUUAGUUUUUCCUGCUUCUCUCUGGUAUGCUCUUUUGGAAUGUGGUAUGGGAUGGAGUUGUGGGUGGAUCGAGAUUUCUUCCAGUGGUACACUGCAAGUACACUGCAUUGAUUGCUUUGCUCUUCUUGGCGCUAAUGCAUCAGGGUUUCCCCUUCAAGACUUCAUGGGUGAUGAUUUUAUCAAUUUCCCCUCCAAGAAUUUAUGGGUGAUGUAAACUCGAGAUCUUGCUCAUUUAUCAAGUUUUGUUCCUUGUUUUUAUCUGAAAUCGUUUCUAUACUAUGAGAGAUAAUUCGAGAAUUAUCUCAUAAGCAGUGGAUAUAACAACUUUAUAAUUAUUUCUUAAUUUGCUUUAUAGACAAAAGUUAUGCUUCUAUGUUCUCUAAGGUAAAUCAAUUGUCAAGUAUGACACAUUACUUAAUUCCAUAAUGUAUAGAUAUUUAUGCCUCUACUGAUGGUGAUAAUAUUGUG